AGAAUGUGGACCUAAAAAUAGAAGUUCAACUCUUCUUAGUGAC
rnacentral:tRNA from 1 species